rnacentral:rRNA from 1 species
UGGGGAAUAUUGGACAAUGGGCGAAAGCCUGAUCCAGCAAUGCCGCGUGAGUGAUGAAGGCCUUAGGGUUGUAAAGCUCUUUUACCAGGGAUGAUAAUGACAGUACCUGGAGAAUAAGCUCCGGCUAACUCCGUGCCAGCAGCCGCGGUAAUACGGAGGGAGCUAGCGUUGUUCGGAAUUACUGGGCGUAAAGCGCACGUAGGCGGCGAUUCAAGUCAGAGGUGAAAGCCCGGGGCUCAACCCCGGAACUGCCUUUGAAACUAGAUUGCUAGAAUCCUGGAGAGGUGAGUGGAAUUCCGAGUGUAGAGGUGAAAUUCGUAGAUAUUCGGAAGAACACCAGUGGCGAAGGCGACUCACUGGACAGGUAUUGACGCUGAGGUGCGAAAGCGUGGGGAGCAAAACAGGAUUAGAUACCCUGGUAGUCCACGCCGUAAACGAUGAUAACUAGCUGUCCGGGCUCAUAGAGCUUGGGUGGCGCAGCUAACGCAUUAAGUUAUCCGCCUGGGGAGUACGGUCGCAAGAUUAAAACUCAAAGGAAUUGACGGGGUCAUAGCUGUUUCCU